rnacentral:lncRNA from 1 species
CUCUUGUUUUUUAUGGAAAAGUACAUUAAAAUCUAUUAUAACUUAUUUCUCAUAAAAUCUAUGAAGAUAUUGAAUAACAGGGGAAUUUAAUUCUUUCCAAAUUCUAUUUGACAAAUCCUUAAUCCAAUAACACUGGAUUUUAAUUCAUUUUUUUCAAUUCCACAAUUGAAUAACACUGGAUUUAGUAUCAGACUUAAAUUCCAUCAAACUCCAUUAAACUACCAAAUUCAAUAACACCCACUAA